rnacentral:tRNA from 1 species
CGCCGGUCACCCGGAAGGUCACCGGGGUGCCGGCCAGCAGCCGGCGCAGCGCGUCCAGGGGCGCGUAGUCGCCGCUCAGGGCCGGCGCCCGGUGGCC